AGAGAGCUAUUUUAUUAUACCAAGAUGCUCAGCUAACCGCGAGAUCCAGAACGAACGGCGGGGCGACCUUCUUCCUGCGAAGGCAACUAAACAUCGUCUGUCCCUCCUGCCUGGUCGGCUGGUCCCCGUCUCUUCUCAGAUCUCACUUGUCCCGUGCCGCGCGCCCUCCCGCUUCCGAUCCCCGCGUGAGCGCAGGCCAAAAACCUAACCCCUGGUCUCACCAUCGCUUCCUCCGCCUGAGGAGGAGCAGGCCGGCGGAGGAGGAGAUGGUCUUCAUGGCGGCGCUGGAGGCCGAUCUGCGCGCUCUCUCCGCUGAGGCACGCCGCCGCCACCCCGCUGUCAAAGACGCCGCCGAGCACGCUAUACUCAAGCUCCGAUCUCUAUCUGCCCCAAGUGAAAUAGCUCAAAAUGAAGAUAUACUGCGGAUGUUUCUGAUGGCAUGUAAUGUCAAAUCAGUGAAGUUGAGUGUCAUAGGACUAUCCUGUUUGCAAAAGCUUAUAUCACACGCUGCUGUUGCAUCAUCUGCGCUGAAGGAUAUACUAGCGACUUUGAAGGAUCACGCAGAGAUGACUGAUGAGAUUGUUCAACUAAAGACUUUGCAAACGAUGUUGAUUCUCUUUCAAUCACAUCUACAUCCUGAAAGUGAGGAGAGCAUGUCACAAGCUCUUGGAAUAUGCCUUUACCUACUUGAAAGCAAUCGAUCUUCUGACAGUGUCCGCAAUACGGCAGCAGCUACGUUUAGACAAGCAGUGGCAUUGGUCUUCGAUAAUGUUAUUCGUGCUGAAUCACUUCCCUCCGGUAAAGCUUCUUCAGCAAGACUUGGUUCCCGUGUUAGCGCUGUUGCUGAUAACGUCACUCAUAGCUUCAGUCACACACUAUCGCUACCAAGCAACUCUGGGGAUCCUACCAUCAUGCAGAAUUUGAGUGAUGUUGGAAAGCUUGGGCUCCGUCUGCUCGAAGACCUGACAGCUAUUGCUGCAGGUGGAUCUGCUAUGUGGCUCCGUGUUUAUUCACUGCAUAGGACAUUUGCCCUUGACAUACUUGAGUUUGUGCUAUCCACAUAUGUUGCUAUAUUCCAGGCAUUGUUAUCUUACCAGCAGGUUUUGCGUCAUCAAAUUUGCUCACUUCUCAUGACUUCACUCCGCACUAAUGUUGAGCUCGAGGGUGAAGCAGGGGAGCCUUCUUACCGUCGUUUAGUUCUCCGUCUGGUUUCUCAUGUCAUCAGGCUAUACAGCUCUUCACUUGUUACUGAAAGUGAGGUUUUCCUUAAUAUGCUUGUAAAAGUUACCCGUCAGGACUUACCAUUAUGGCAUCAGAUACUUGUCCUUGAAAUUUUAAGGGGUUUUUGUGUUGAAGCCUGCACUCUGCGCUUGCUGUUUCAGACAUUUGACUUGAAUCCUGUGAAUACCAAUGUCGUGGAGAACAUAGUUAGAGCACUUGCUUUGGUUGUAGCUUCAAUUCAGGCUUCAGAUUCAAGCGAAGAAACUCUAGCCGCUGUUGGUGGGAUGUUCAGUAGUAAAGCUAAAGGGAUCGAGUGGAGUAUGGACCAUGAUGCAUCAAAUGCUGCUGUUUUGGUUGCUAGUGAAGCACAUACUAUCACUCUGGCCCUUGAAGGUCUCUUAGGCGUAGUUUUCACUAUUGCCACUUUGACUGAUGAAGCUCUAGAUGUUGGUGAGCUUGAAUCACCUAAAUGUGAAUCAAAUAGUAUGGAAUGUAGUGGACAGUUGGCCCUUCUUUGUAUGGCUUUGGUCAAUUCAACAUGGUUAACCAUCCUUGACUCUUUGUCAUUUAUUUUGACGAGGUCACAGGGGGAAGCUAUAAUAUUAGAGAUAUUGAAAGGAUACCAAGCAUUCACUCAGGCUUGUGGAGUUCUCCGUGCCAUAGAGCCCUUAAACUCUUUCCUAGCAUCACUUUGCAAGUUUACAAUCAAUAAUCCAAAUGAAGGAGAGAAGAAAAGCAUCUUGCAGUCUCCUGGAUCAAAGAGGUCAGAAACUUCAAUGGAUCAGCGUGAUAGUAUUAUUCUCACACUAAAAAAUGUUCAGGCACUAAGAACACUUUUUAAUGUUGCACAUCGAUUACACAAUGUCCUUGGUCCUUCUUGGGUUCUGGUAUUGGAGACACUUUCAGCACUUGAUAGAGCUAUUCAUUCUCCACAUGCUUCAACUCAGGAAGUAUCAGCUUCUGUUUCAAAACUUUCAAGAGAUACAUCGGGACAGUACAGUGAUUUCCAUAUUCUCUCUUCUUUAAAUUCUCAGUUGUUUGAAAGUUCAGCCUUGAUGAACAUAGCUGCGGUGAAGUCACUUCUGUCUGCAUUGCACCAAUUGUCAAGUCAGCACAUAUCUGGAAGCUCUCAAUUGUCUGUCCAGCAGAUUGGGAGCAUUUCAUUUUCAGUGGAGCGCAUGACAACGAUUCUUGCCAAUAAUCUGCAUCGAGUUGAACCGAUAUGGGAUCAAAUUGCUGCUCAUCAUCUUGAGCUUGCAAAUUGCUCUAACCCACAAUUAUGUAAUAUGGCACUGAACUCAUUGGAUCAAUCAAUUUGUUUGGUAGCGGGUUCUGAAAAAUUUCAGGGCAUCAGCGCAGCACCUCAUCAGUUUCCAGAAAGCCAUUUGGUCAAAGAAAGUGAAACUGUAUCAUUUGAGUAUGCAGUUUUAUCUCCAUUGAUGAUCCUCUAUUCCUCCAACAAGAACGUUGAUGUACAAAUGGGUGCAUUAAAGAUUCUUUUGCAUGUUCUUGAGAGACAUGGAGAAAAGUUAUCAUAUAGCUGGCCCAGCAUUCUUCAUAUGUUAAGGAUGGUUACUGAUGCAUCAGAAAAAGACCUCAUCUCCUUAGGCUUUCAGAGCAUUCGUGUAAUAAUGAAUGAAGGACUGGCAACAAUCCCUGUACAAUGCCUUGAUGAAUGCAUUUUGGUAACUGGAGCAUAUGGUACUCAGAAAACUGAUAUAAACAUAAGUUUAACAUCAGUUGGACUUUUGUGGACUGCUACUGAUUUUAUUGUGAAGGGAUUAGUCAGCAAGCCUAUUGAGCAAGCUAGUCACAUGAAUGAUGAUGUUCAAUCAUGUGAAAUGACUGAAGAGGCAAACAGCAAGCAAGUUCCUCCAAAACUAGUUGAUUAUAGUAUACUUUUCUUUUCAGUUUUCUCUGUCCUCCAGAAAUUGGGUUCAGAUGAUCGUCCUGAGGUUCGAAAUUCAGCUGUUAGGACUCUCUUCCAGACUCUCAGCAUCCAUGGCCAAAAGCUUUCUAAAAGUAUGUGGGAGGAUUGUCUUUGGUUAUAUGUUUUCCCUAUGUUAGAGCAUGUUUCCCACUUGGCAUCUACCUCAUCUCGAGAUGAGUGGCAAGGGAAGGAACUUGGAACUCGGGCUGGCAAAGCUGUUCAUAUGCUUAUCCAUCACAGUCGAAAUACAGCACAAAAGCAAUGGGAUGAAACCAUUGUUCUUGUACUUGGUGGUAUUGCACGGCUUUUGCGUUCUUUUUUCUCUUACCUCCAACAACUGAGAAAAUUUUCUUCUGGUUGGGUGCUUUUACUCAGUUUUAUAAAAAAUAGCAUCUUAAACGGUAGCAAGGAGGUUGCUAUUGCUGCCAUCAAUUGCUUGCAGACGUUUGUCGGCGCAAACUGUCCAAAGGGCAAUUUGGAAUCCUCGUAUGUUAAAUCUGUUCUUGAUAUUUAUGAACUUGUUCUUCAAACUUCAUCUAAUUUUAAGAAUGACUCCACUGAUAAAGUGAAGCAAGAGGUUCUCCGUGGUCUUGGUGAUCUUUAUGUCCAAGCACAAUCUCUGUUUACUGGUGACAUGUAUCUAAGGCUUAUGGCAAUUAUGCAUCUGAUGAUCAAGACUACCUUGAAUCCUACUGAUUAUGAUAGUGAACUGGUAUACCUGUGCAUGCAUAAUUUGUGCACACACACAUACAUAUACAUAUGCUAUUUGGCUCCCUAGGAGCAGCCUAACUGCCUCCCGCAGCCGCAUCGAGCUCCCCGUGCCACACAUGCAGCUGUCACUCUUCCCAAAAUAAGGUAGUAUUCCUGCUGUACAACGAGGUAUAUUGGAAAUCAUUCCUAUGCUACGCCCAACAGUUGUAUUGUCUCCCAUGUGGACACAUCUGCUUCUUGAGCUGCUAUGCUAUCUUAAUGGGCACGAAGGCCCCCUCCAGAAAAAUAAUGAACAAACGCCCGAUCAUAAUUCUCAAGCACUGGUAGACGGUGCAAAGCAUGCUCUUGUUGAAAGAAGCAAUCUCAAUGGCGGGGGUACAAAACUGGAUAUGGUGGGAUCUGGUUGGGGCAUUCUAUUUGUAGAAAAACUUGUACCAAUCAUUGCCAACCUUUUCUUGGAGGCUCCACCAAAUGAAAGGUUUAGUGUCUCUCCUGAAGUCAUUCAAGGUCUUGGAAGGUGUAUGAACACAAGGAGAGACAACCCAAGGGGUACCCUUUGGAGAAUAUCUGCUGAAUCUUUCAAUCGUGUUGUGACAGAUGAGGUCAGGCAGGACAAUGUUGAUUGCAGAAGUGAUGUGAAUUCAUAUAAACUUUCUAGAGCUCGUUUCUGGAAGGAGGUCGCAGAUGUGUAUGAAACUUUUCUUGUUGGUUCUUGUGGACGCGUGUUAUCAUCAGAUGUUCCUUCAGCUGAAUAUAUUACAGCUGAUGAGGCCCUUGAGAUGAGUGUUCUCACUGUCUUUGGAGAUGAUAUUCUGAAAUUGCAAAAGGAUGCUCCAGUUGAGGUUUUGCAAAGGCUUGUGAACUGUCUUGAUCACUGUGCCUCAAGAACAGGAUCACUGCCUGUUCAAACUGUUGGCCUUUUACCGUUACACUGCAGCAGAUUUUCGCUGAGCUGUUUGCAGAUGAUGUUUUCUUUAUGCAGUUGCAUAGGGAACGCAACCUUGUGUGCUGCAGCAUCAGAAACCAGCAAAGUUUCAAUUUCCAUUCUAAUGAAGCGAUGUGAGGUUAUAUUGGGUCAAUUUUUGGCCGAUGAAAAUGAUCUAGGAGAACAUCCUUUGCCUAGUGUGAGGGUUGAAGAAACGAUCUGUGUUCUUCAAGAGCUUGCUAGACUAAUUAUAGACAUUGAUGCAGCGAAUACUCUCAACAUACCUCCAUAUCUGAAGCAAGCUUUGGGGGAAAACAAAUCCCAUGGACGGGCUCAUUUAUUGUCUUUGCUUCCCACUUUUUCUGAGCUUGUUGUCUCAAGAGAAGCUAGGGUACGGGAGCUUGUACAAGUGCUGCUCAGACUCAUUUCCUCGGAGCUGGGACUACAUCAGCUGACGUAACAACUAAUGAUGAAACUCUGUUUUCUAUUCUCUUGCUGGAGGAAAAUCAUAUAACCUUGUCAGUAUUGUCCCCUUCUCUUACAAAAUUGAUUUUGUAUAUCCAUCGUGACAGGCAAAUUAGGUGCUUGUCACAUGUAUCUAAGAACAGAGCUGUGUAUGUAACAUUUUGUUGGGAAAAUAUGGUGGCUGUUUCUGGAGUCACUAGGUGUACAACCCAUUCUUUCAACGUUUUCUUACGCAAGAAAUCCAUUCUGCCACUCAUGUAUUGUGUGCCA